AAAUAAGUGAUAUAUCAAAAUGUAUUACGAGGAAAGCACGUAUUGAUUGAUGCUCGUCAAAAACUGGGAAUCCCAUAGGGAAACACC